rnacentral:rRNA from 1 species
AUUGAACGCUGGCGGCACGCUUAACACAUGCAAGUCGAGCGGUAACAGGUAAUGUAGCAAUACAUUACGCUGACGAGCGGCGGACGGGUGAGUAACGCGUAGGAACCUACCUUUAAGCGGGGGAUAACCAGAGGAAACUUUGGCUAAUACCGCAUGAACUCGAGAGAGAAAAGAUGCCCGCAAGGGUGUUGCUUGAAGAGGGGUAUGCGUCCGAUUAGCUAGUUGGUGAGGUAAUGGCUCACCAAGGCGAUGAUCGGUAACUGGUCUGAGAGGACGACCAGUCACACUGGGACUGAGACACGGCCCAGACUCCUACGGGAGGCAGCAGUGGGGAAUCUUGGACAAUGGGGGCAACCCUGAUCCAGCGAUGCCGCGUGAGUGAAGAAGGCCUUCGGGUCGUAAAGCUCUUUAGGUUGGGAAGAAGGUUGUAUGUUUAAUAGACAUGCAAAUUGACGGUACCGACGGAAUAAGCACCGGCAAACUCUGUGCCAGCCGCCGCCGUAAUAC